rnacentral:rRNA from 1 species
AACGAACGCUGGCGGCAGGCUUAACACAUGCAAGUCGAGCGCCCCGCAAGGGGAGCGGCAGACGGGUGAGUAACGCGUGGGAAUCUACCCAUCUCUACGGAAUAACGCAUGGAAACGUGUGCUAAUACCGUAUACGUCCUUCGGGAGACAGAUUUAUCGGAGAUGGAUGAGCCCGCGUUGGAUUAGCUAGUUGGUGGGGUAAAGGCCUACCAAGGCGACGAUCCAUAGCUGGUCUGAGAGGAUGAUCAGCCACACUGGGACUGAGACACGGCCCAGACUCCUACGGGAGGCAGCAGUGGGGAAUAUUGGACAAUGGGCGCAAGCCUGAUCCAGCCAUGCCGCGUGAGUGAUGAAGGCCCUAGGGUUGUAAAGCUCUUUCACCGGUGAAGAUAAUGACGGUAACCGGAGAAGAAGCCCCGGUUAACUUCGUGCCAGCCGCCGCAGUAACAC